rnacentral:misc_RNA from 1 species
UAAUAAGUGUUUUAUGGCACUUUUUAAUCCAUAUCCACCUUGUGUGCAAUGUCAGUCGAUCUUCUUCAUGGAGAUCGACCAAACAUCAACCUUUAUCUUUUAACUCUUUGUCUGAAAAAUAUUAUGAAUAAACAAUUCAAAAUA